ACCUUCCCCCUCAUGUGCCAUGGCCCUGUGUCAAUACCCUAAAUCCUGUGUUCCUCAUGCCCCCAGGUCAUGUUCCCAGGUCUUGUGUCCCUCAUGCCUCCAGGUCUUGUGCCCACACGCCCCAUUUCCAGUGUCACCCUCUCCCCCUCAUAUGCACAGGUCCUUUGUCAUCCUCCUAAGUCCUAUGUCACCCCCCCUCAUGUCCCCAGGUCCUGUGUCUCUCUUCCCCUUUCCCCCUCAUGUCUUGUGUAACCCUCUUCCCUCCUCAUGUGCCAAGGUCCUGUGCCACACCCACUCAUGGUCAGUGUCCUGUGUCCCUCCUCCCAACUCCCCAUCGCCCUCAUGCAGGGCCGUAACUAGGUGUGUGCUAGCGGUGCGUUGUACACAGCGCAUCUGCACUGUGGGCGCAUCCGCUGGCACAAACACAGGGCCGGCCGUAUCAGUUGCGGAUUCACAGCUAAGCAAUUUAAGCAUGUGCUGCCCGCUUACAGGGCUGUUUGUUGCUGCCUGCCCGGCAUCCUCUCCCCUGCAUCCUCCCAUGUAUACCCGCCACGUCCCUGCUGCCGCAUCCCUCUCCCCUCCCCAGCGUCAAGAGUCAGACCCUGGCCACAAUACCCGGAAGCAGCGUGGACUGCUGCUUACCAGGCUGGGGAUGCGGGCCACACAAUCAAGCACCCCGCGGUGCUGAUCAUAUGCACUUAACCCCUGGACGAUACUGCAGCUCAGCGCUGUCUUACAGCUCGGGACCUGCUCAGGAGGUCGCCGGGCUGCUAGCUGCAGAAGAGGAGCCUGGUAUGUGAUUGCUUCGUUCACAGAUGUAAAGAACAGGAACAGUGGAAAGCUUUGCAACUUUCUAUCAGUUUGCAAGAAGCAAACUCAAUCAGUACAAGUUUGAAGAAACAGACUGUUUUCCAGGUAUGAUCCACCUGCUCUGAAUGGCGAGGAGAAAGCUGUGUAUAUCAAAGUCGCCAACACGCACUUGGGUAUAAAUAAAGUUUGAAGUGAAGCGACAUUCAGGAGGGAGCUCUACAAAGGCUACUCUGACAACAGUGAAGAUGACCAAACAACCAUCUCCUAAAAGGC